AUACUUACCUGGCAAGGGAGAAACUGUGAUCAAGAAGGCAGUUCACCCAGGGUGAGGCUCAGCCAUUGCACUCCGGCUGUGCUGACCCCUGCGAAUUUCCCAAAUGUGGAAAUCUCGAUUGCAUAAUUUAUGGUAGUAGUGGGGGACUGCGUUCGCGCUCUCCCCUG
ensembl:snRNA U1 U1 spliceosomal RNA